GACGAACGCUGGCGGCGUGCUUAACACAUGCAAGUCGAGCGGUAAGGCCCUUUCGGGGGUACGACGAGCGGCGAACGGGUGAGUAACACGUGGGUGACCUGCCCUCCAGCUCUGGGAUAAGCCUGGGAAACGUGGGUCUAAUACUGGAUAUGACUCCACGGUGCAUGUCGUGGGGUGGGAAAGCCUUGUGCGGCUGAGGAUGGGCCC
rnacentral:rRNA from 1 species